rnacentral:rRNA from 1 species
UAGGGAAUCUUCCACAAUGGGCGCAAGCCUGAUGGAGCAACGCCGCGUGAGUGAGGAAGGCUUUCGGGUCGUAAAGCUCUGUUGCCAGGGAAGAAUAAGGGUGUGUUAACUGCACAUUCGAUGACGGUACCUGAGAAGAAAGCCCCGGCUAACUACGUGCCAGCAGCCGCGGUAAUACGUAGGGGGCAAGCGUUGUCCGGAAUUAUUGGGCGUAAAGCGCGCGCAGGCGGUCUUUUAAGUCUGGUGUCUAAGUGCGGGGCUCAACCCCGUGAUGCACUGGAAACUGGGAGACUUGAGUGUAGAAGAGGAGAGCGGAAUUCCACGUGUAGCGGUGAAAUGCGUAGAGAUGUGGAGGAACACCAGUGGCGAAGGCGGCUCUCUGGACUGUAACUGACGCUGAGGCGCGAAAGCGUGGGGAGCAAACA